GGGGUGUUUACUGUUGAGUGAGGGUCUACUACUCUGGAUGAAGAAUAUUUAGCUUGAAGUAGAGGCAAAGGCACGAAGGUGAAACCUGACAUAACUUCCGGGAGGAGUCUGGAACUAUAGAACGGUGCCGAUACAUCUCUAUGACAACCACAACGCGUUCUCUGCAUUCUCCUGCGCUUUUACGAAGCUCUCCAAAGAAACGGAGGGAAACUCAGGUCAGACUCAGAGACCAACAAUUUCAAUCUAUCCAGAGCUACAUGACGUAAAGAAAAGGGUCUCAUCGGUACAGUCAGCCCCAGAUGAGCAUCUGUCCCAGGGGGAGAUCAAGGCCCUGCUCCCCCGGAGGCUGGUGGAGAGGGUAGAGGAUGUGAGGGCAGCGUUCAAAGGCCUGGACCCUGAGGGGAGCGGCUCAGUGACCCGGGGGGAGUUCAGACAGGUGGUGGAGGCCUUCCUCUUCCCCCUCACGCAGACCCAGCUCAACGCCAUGCUGGCCAUGAUUGGGAGCAACCUGAAGAAUGUAAUCCGGGCCUUUCGUCUGUUCGACUACAACCCGAGACGGACAGAUCCAGCAACACGAGCUGCGCAGGAUACUGGAGAACUACUGCUUCCCUUUAACACAGAGAGACUACCAGAGAUAAAACGGACUAUGAUUUCAUCUCCUCUCCACUGCAGACUGUGGACCCACUAAAGCCCUAACGUCAUGGCAACAAUGUCCUACAAAGUGUUCCUGGAGAAGCUGGGCCUGGAAUCUAACAGGUACAGGAAGACUGUCCCGGAGCCUCCAAAGCUAGCGUUGGGCUGGCUAGGAAUUAGUCCUCCAGACAAGACAAAACGGAGGAACAGAGCAGCGUCCCAGGACAACAACAGGAGAUACACAGGAGAUCCAAAGCCUGACUCAAGACAAGCUGCAGAUGCUCUUCCUGGAAAAAGUUGUGUGUGAGCUGUACCCUAGUGUGACGAGCACUGCAAGCAUUUGAUGUCACCCACUCUGGACUGGUGUCACAGGAAGACCUGAGGGCCAUGCUCAGCAGCUUCCUGUUUCCCAUGAGCCUCAGCACCUUCCAGAGCCUGACCUGCCGCAUAGGGAGGAUCACCAGGGCAGACCUUCGUCAGGCUUUGGAAGUCCCCCAGUAUAACCUGAGGGGUCCCCAGGGCUCCUGGUCCAGCCGCAGGGAGCCCCACACCCCCAGGCCCCGUCUGAGCCCAGCCCAGGUCAGAGAGCUUCUGAUCCUGCUGGACCCAGAGCACACUGGGGUCAUCACCCAGCCCAGCCUGAAGCUGCUCAACCCCAGGAGGGUGCACAGGAGAUCAUGGAGGAUGUGGCUCAGGGACAGGAAGUUCAGUGUAUGUGUGUGUGUUUGUUGAUGUGUUGGCACAUGCUCAUGUGUGUGUCUGUUGACUAAGGAGGAGCAGAGGGAGUUGAAUGAGACUCAGUAUCCACAGUGGAUUGAAAAGGCACCCACGGCAGCAGACACAUGGAC
rnacentral:lncRNA from 1 species